rnacentral:misc_RNA from 1 species
GCACUACCAUGCGACGUACAUUAAUCGUUGGAAUAGGCGAGAACAUUACAUUGUUCAAGGGCAAGAAAUGGCACAACCACUCCACCAUCAUUCUGAAUAUAUGGAGUGGUAUCGUCGAGUUGCAAGACGUUGGAUCUCAAUAAGUGGAGCUGCCAUUGGUUGUGUGGAGGAUGCAAUUGAGGAUUGUUUGCUAAAAUUACAGAACCUAUCAACAGAAAAUGUGGCUGAAGUUAAACAUACAUUAAGAAAAAUGAUGAUUGCUCUAGAGGAAGAAAGUCGGCUUUGCCAAAUGCCACCUCCUCAGUCCGCACCUCAAGCAACAACCUUUAAUGAUGAAUUAGAAGAGGACCAACCCAUCAACCAGCCUGAGCCCUCACAUAGAGCAACACGACGCCGAUCACGUCCUGCUCGACGUCGUCAACAUCCAGUGCGUCCAGCCUCUCCUCCCGAUGAUGCUUUGCCCCCACUUGUUGCAUUCCACCCUUACUGCAUCACAUCAGCGCCUGAUCAUUCUGAUCCUAUUCCCUCGGCUCCUGCACUAUCUGAUCCUGCUCAUUACACUGGUCGGAUGGCUACCCCAUCAAUGCCUGGCCCAUCAGCACCAUGGAUGUCAUAUCAAACUCAAAUGCAAAACAGAAGCACAUUCGACUUUACUGAGAGUCAACAGCCGUAAACAGCAUUCGGCGGCUUAUUUGCUCCAUUUGAUAGACCAUCAAGCAUUNNNUUGGGCCAUCACAGAAUACGUCAGGUCAAUUUAGUGGAUAUGGGUCAGAACAAUACUUUGCACCAUAUCAUUCUGGUGCCUUAGGCCAUAUUCCAUCUGCUGCGGGUCUAUUUGGAUACCAUGAACAAAGUGCUGUGCAUUAUACUGCAGGGGGGGAAUCAUCGGGACAACAUCAAGGGCAAGCUAGCCAACCCAAAGAUGCACAAGGUCAUCCAGCAG